CAGUAGCCGCGGGAAUACGUAGGGUGCAAGCGUUAAUCGGAAUUACUGGGCGUAAAGCGUGCGCAGGCGGUUUGUUAAGACAGAUGUGAAAUCCCCGGGCUCAACCUGGGAACUGCAUUUGUGACUGGCAAGCUAGAGUGUGGCAGAGGGGGGUGGAAUUCCGCGUGUAGCAGUGAAAUGCGUAGAUAUGCGGAGGAACACCGAUGGCGAAGGCAGCCCCCUGGGCCAACACUGACGCUCAUGCGCGAAAGCGUGGGGAGCAAGCAGGAUUAGAUACCCCAGUAGUCCCUGUCUCUUAUAC
rnacentral:rRNA from 1 species